AUUGAACGCUGGCGGCAGGCCUAACACAUGCAAGUCGAGCGAGCGGCGGACGGGUGAGUAAUGCCUGGGAAUUGCCCAGUCGAGGGGGAUAACAGUUGGAAACGACUGCUAAUACCGCAUACGAUUUGAUUGCCCAGGUGGGAUUAGCUAGUUGGUGAGGUAAUGGCUCACCAAGGCGACGAUCCCUAGCUGGUCUGAGAGGAGGAUCGGCCACAUUGGAACUGAGACACGGCCCAGACUCCUACGGGCGGCUGCAGUGGGGAAUAUUGCACAAUGGGGGAAACCAUUAUGCAGCAACGCCGCGUGUGUGAAGAGGGCUUUCGGGUUGUAAAGCACUUUCAGCAAGGAGGCGUUACUCGAAGAAGAAGCACCGGCUAACUCCGUGCCAGCAGCCGCGGUAAUUC
rnacentral:rRNA from 1 species